rnacentral:rRNA from 1 species
UGGGGAAUCUUGCACAAUGGGCGAAAGCCUGAUGCAGCGACGCCGCGUGAAGGAUGAAGGUCUUCGGAUUGUAAACUUCUGUUAAGUGGGGCGAAAAGCCUCUUUCUAAUACAGAGAGGAAAUGACAGUACCACUAGAGAAAGCACCGGCUAACUUCGUGCCAGCAGCCGCGGUAAUACGAGGGGUGCAAGCGUUAUCCGGAAUUAUUGGGCGUACAGGGCGCGUAGGCGGCAUGUUAAGUCUGUUGUUAAAUAUCCCGGCCUAACUGGGAAAAGGCAAUUGAUACUGAUGUGCUUGAGGGUGGAAGAGAGAAGCGGAAUUCUCGGAGUAGCGGUAAAAUGCGUAGAUCUCGAGAGGAACACCGAUGGCGAAGGCAGCUUCUUGGUCCAUACCUGACGCU